AGAUUGAACGCUGGCGGCAUGCUUUACACAUGCAAGUCGAACGGGCUGUUGGGGCAACCUGGCAGUCAGUGGCGGACGGGUGAGUAAUGCAUCGGAACGUGUCCCGUAGUGGGGGAUAACCCGGCGAAAGCCGGACUAAUACCGCAUAUGCUCUACGGAGGAAAGCGGGGGACCUGAAAGGGCCUCGCGCUAUGGGAGCGGCCGAUGUCCGAUUAGCUUGUUGGUGGGGUAAUGGCCUACCAAGGCGACGAUCGGUAGCUGGUCUGAGAGGAUGAUCAGCCACACUGGGACUGAGACACGGCCCAGACUCCUACGGGAGGCAGCAGUGGGAAUUUGGACAAUGGGGGCAACCCUGAUCCAGCCAUGCCGCGUGCGGAAGAAGGCCUCGGUGUAACGCUUAGUCGGAAGAAAGGACGACGGCGAAGUACCCGUCGUCUUGACGGUACCGGCGGAAGUAAGACACCGACGUAACUACGUGCCAGCAGCCGC
rnacentral:rRNA from 1 species